rnacentral:rRNA from 1 species
GAUGAACGCUGGCGGCGUGCCUAAUACAUGCAAGUCGAGCGAACAGACGAGGAGCUUGCUCCUCUGACGUUAGCGGCGGACGGGUGAGUAACACGUGGAUAACCUACCUAUAAGACUGGGAUAACUUCGGGAAACCGGAGCUAAUACCGGAUAAUCUAUUUAACCGCAUGGUUCAAUAGUGAAAUACGGUUUUGCUGUCACUUAUCGAUGGAUCCGCUCCGCAUUAGCUAGUUGGUAAGGUAACGGCUUACCAAGGCAACGAUGCGUAGCCGACCUGAGCGGGGGAUGGGCGACACUGGAACUGAGCCGCGGUCCAGGCUCCUACGGGAGGCAGCAGUAGGGAAUCGUCCGCAAUGGGCGAAAGCCUGACGGAGCAACGCCGCGCGAGUGAUGAAGGUCUUCGGAUCGUAAAACUCUGUUAUUAGGGAAGAACAAAUGUGUAAGUAACUAUGCACGUCUUGACGGUACCUAAUCAGAAAGCCACGGCUAACUACGUG